rnacentral:rRNA from 1 species
UACGUAGGGUGCAAGCGUUAAUCGGAAUUACUGGGCGUAAAGCGUGCGCAGGCGGCUAUGCAAGACAGAUGUGAAAUCCCCGGGCUCAACCUGGGAACUGCAUUUGUGACUGCAAGGCUGGAGUGCGGCAGAGGGGGAUGGAAUUCCGCGUGUAGCAGUGAAAUGCGUAGAUAUGCGGAGGAACACCGAUGGCGAAGGCAAUCCCCUGGGCCUGCACUGACGCUCAUGCACGAAAGCGUGGGGAGCAAACAGG